rnacentral:rRNA from 1 species
GAUGAACGCUGGCGGCGUGCCUAAUACAUGCAAGUCGAGCGAACGGACGAGAAGCUUGCUUCUCUGAUGUUAGUGGCGGACGGGUGAGUAACACGUGGAUAACCUACCUAUAAGACUGGGAUAACUUCGGGAAACCGUAGCUAAUACCGGAUAAUAUUUUGAACCGCAUGGUUCAAAAGUGAAAGACGGUCUUGCUGUCACUUAUAGAUGGAUCCGCGCUGCAUUAGCUAGUUGGUAAGGUAACGGCUUACCAAGGCAACGAUGCAUAGCCGACCUGAGAGGGUGAUCGGCCACACUGGAACUGAGGCACGGUCCAGACUCCUACGGGAGGCAGCAGUAGGGAAUCUUCCGCAAUGGGCGAAAGCCUGACGGAGCAACGCCGCGUGAGUGAUGAAGGUCUUCGGAUCGUAAAACUCUGUUAUUAGUGAAGAACAUAUGUGUAAGUAACUGUGCACAUCUUGACGGUACCUAAUCAGAAAGCCACGGCUAACUACGUG